rnacentral:rRNA from 1 species
GAUGAACGCUGGCGGCGUGCCUAAUACAUGCAAGUCGAGCGAACGGACGAGAAGCUUGCUUUUCUGAUGUUAGCGGCGGACGGGUGAGUAGCACGUGGAUAACCUACCUAUAAGACUGGGAUAACUUCGGGAAACCGGAGCUAAUACCGGAUAAUAUUUUGAACCGCAUGGUUCAAAAGUGAAAGACGGUCUUGCUGUCACUUAUAGAUGGAUCCGCGCUGCAUUAGCUAGUUGGUAAGGUAACGGCUUACCAAGGCAACGAUGCAUAGCCGACCUGAGAGGGUGAUCGGCCACACUGGAACUGAGACACGGUCCAGACUCCUACGGGAGGCAGCAGUAGGGAAUCUUCCGCAAUGGUCGAAAGCCUGACGGAGCAACGCCGCGUGAGUGAUGAAGGUCUUCGGAUCGUAAAACUCUGUUAUUAGGGAAGAACAUAUGUGUAAGUAACUGUGCACAUCUUGACGGUACCUAAUCAGAAAGCCACGGCUAACUACGUG